UACUUUGUAUACUAAAAAAACUUUUCUUUUAAGUGAAAAGACUUAGAUAACUAAGGAAGACGAAAAGACCCCGCGGAACUUUACCUUUUCUCACACUUCUGUCUACAAACUUAAAAGUCUAUAAGGUUUGAUUGGGGCAAUCUUGGAAUCACUAAAGCUUCCAGUUUCUAUAAAACAAUAUCUAAAAUUUACUAAAGACCAAAAAGUAGUUACCCCGGGGAUAACAGCGUAAUCCAACUCAAGAGUACACAUCGAAAGUUGGGUUUGCGACCUCGAUGUUG
rnacentral:rRNA from 1 species